CCAGAGGGUCGGGCGGCCGCGUCGCAUGCCGUGCAUGUGUCGAGGAAAGUCCGGGCUCCGCGGAACGACGGUGCCGGGUAACGCCCGGCGGGGGCGACCCCAGGGACAGUGCCACAGAGAGCAGACCGCCUGCCUUCGCGGCAGGUAAGGGUGAAAGGGUGCGGCAAGAGCGCACCGCGCGGCCGGUAACGGCAGCGGCACGGCAAACCCCACCGGGAGCAAGACCGAAUAGGGGCGGCAUGGGGCGCGGCGACGCGCACCGGGGUGUGUUCCCACCCGCUGCCCGGGUUGGUUGCUGGAGGCGGCGCGCAAGCGUCGUCCGAGAGGAAUGGUCGCCCAGUCCCCGAAAGGGGAUGGACAGAACCCGGCUUACAGACCCUCUGGCAUC
rnacentral:RNase_P_RNA from 1 species